AUUCAGCGACGUUACCAGCUGUGUGUUAUACGAAACGAAAAUGCUUUGGUUUUGCAUCGUGUUUUGAGACUGUCAGGGUGACAUGAUGGAUUAAUUGCUGUUUGACUGACAAUAAAUGAACAUGUUUGUGUUUGGAGAUUGCUGAGGUUAAUAUCUUCACAAUUGGGAAAUCCCAACAUAAGUUGACUGCCAGUUUGACCACUGAUCUGCAUAAUAUCAGUGGGAGAGCAUGCUGAAUCCCGCAGCUUCUGCACCAUAUGUUUCCUAGCCGAGUGGUUGAAAGUUGCGACCACACAUUCCAUGGGUGAUGAUAUCUACCAAAAUUCUUGGCGGCACAGUUCUACCCUCGUCAGUUGCACUUGUCCGAGUCUUUCUCUGCCUCUCAACCAACUCGAGAUAUUCCCCCCCCCCCUCAACUGCAUCCCGGCACAGCUUCACAUCAACCCAUCUAAUUAAUUUGUCGGAAAGGUUGACCACACAAAUUUCCUGUUUGGUUGUGGAGAUAGAAUCAUUUUUUUUUGUGAAAGUUUGAUUUCAGACACUUAAAAAUUUAAAUUGUCAUGUAUUAUUAGGCAUGGCAGGCAUUAGCAAAGCAUCUCAAUCAAGUAUUAAUUAUUUUACUUUGUCAAUGUUAAUUCAUUGUGUAUGCUAUUCACCUGUUUGCCUUGCUUUUUAUAAGAAUGACACAAAAAAGGAAAGCAUUUGUAAAGUAUUAGUUAAUUUUUUUUAUAUAAUCUUAGACGAGAGGUUUAGUGAAUAUUUGUCAUAAAUUCUUCUUUAACUUGAUCAAAUCUGUCAUAUUUUAUUUAAAACGUGUUAAGAAUAUUUGUGUUACGUUUUAAAUGUUUAUCAUUACUGUUUUAAAUUGUGUUCAUCUGCAGCCAAUGAAUGGUAGGCUAGCGGUGCACAUUUGUAUUUGUUUAUUUUUUUUCCAUUUAUUAAUUCUCAUUUAAUUUAUAUUUCCCUAUAGAUAUAUACUUAAUAAAGUGUUAGUUUUGUUUAAAAAAAAACUUAUUGUUUAUUAAUGUUCUAACUUCUGAAUAAAAUAUGAAUCGCU